AGACAGCUUCGUAACCAAAUUUCAGCCAACCUCCAUCAUCUACUCUGGGGAGAUUCUCUUAAUGGUGACUAUCAUCUCCAUUUCCAAUAGAGCUUCAUCUGAUCGUGAAGGUCCAUCUUCUUUCAUUCUAGCGUCACUUAAGCUUCGCCUGAUCGCCCUAUCUUUUAGCUCCAGCUUUGUGUAAACCUAUAAUUGACCUAUUACACAGAAAGGCAUGAGCACUUUGGUUUAGUACAUUGUUCAAAUUUAUGAAAUUUGUAUGAUAUGGAUUAUGCAUCAUCCAAAAUGUCAAUGCAUCCAUACUUGAAACCAUACAUUUCUAUGUUUUCUCUCAAAUUGGGGGUAGUGAAAUUUGGAACUAUGACCAUGCUGUUCACAUUAAAUAUAAGUGAAAUUUUGCAAUUUAUAUUUUUAAUUGACUCAUUCU
rnacentral:lncRNA from 1 species